rnacentral:lncRNA from 1 species
GCGCACGGGCCCUGUGAGCGAUCGCGGUGGGCUUGGGCUGGUGACGCGUGCGCCGGCCGGCCGCCGAGGGGCUACCGUUCUGCCUCCGACCGGUCGUGUGUGGGUUUACUCGGAGAAAUACUAGGCUUUAGAAUUUCACCAUAUGAAUUUUGGGAGAGAGGAGCACAGUUCAGCCCAUAACUAACACACGUGAUGAAGAAGACAUGCCAACAGAGGGUUAAUUCCAGAUAAAAUGAAAUGUUCCAAACAACGGAAUGAAGUUGAUAAUAGUGAGACCUUGUUGGUACAAGACUAUGUAACAUAACCUGCGCUUCUCAACAAAGAAUUGCUUUUCUGACUUCUGCACUCAAUAGCAAGACAAAUCUCUCCUCUGCCUUCUCCUUAUCAGACUACUCAACAUGAAGGCAAUAAGAAUGAAGACCUCUAUGUAUAAUAAUUGACUUCCACUUAAUAAAUAAGGUUACUUGGUACACUGGUCGACAAAAC